rnacentral:rRNA from 1 species
AGUGAACGCUGGCGGUAGGCCUAACACAUGCAAGUCGAACGGCAGCACAGUAAGAGCUUGCUCUUACGGGUGGCGAGUGGCGGACGGGUGAGGAAUACAUCGGAAUCUACUUUUUCGUGGGGGAUAACGUAGGGAAACUUACGCUAAUACCGCAUACGACCUACGGGUGAAAGCAGGGGAUCUUCGGACCUUGCGCGAUUGAAUGAGCCGAUGUCGGAUUAGCUAGUUGGCGGGGUAAAGGCCCACCAAGGCGACGAUCCGUAGCUGGUCUGAGAGGAUGAUCAGCCACACUGGAACUGAGACACGGUCCAGCCUCCUACGGGAGGCAGAAGUGGGGAAUAUUGGACAAUGGGCGCAAGCCUGAUCCAGCCAUACCGCGUGGGUGAAGAAGGCCUUCGGGUUGUAAAGCCCUUUUGUUGGGAAAGAAAAGCAGCAGGUUAAUACCCCGCUGUUCUGACGGUAACCAAAGAAUAAGCACCGGCUAACUUCGUG